rnacentral:rRNA from 1 species
GAAAGUCUGCANCUUAACUGUAGAACUGCCAUUGAUACUGUAGACCUUGAAUUAGUAUGAAGUGGUUAGAAUGUGUAGUGUAGCGGUGAAAUGCAUAGAUAUUACACAGAAUACCGAUUGCGAAGGCAGAUCACUAAUACUAUAUUGACGCUGAUGGACGAAAGCGUAGGUAGCGAACAGGAUUAGAUACCCUGGUAGUCUACGCCGUAAACGAUGGUUACUAGCUGUCCGGCCUAAUUGAGGGCUGGGUGGUUAAGCGAAAGUGAUAAGUAACCCACCUGGGGAGUACGUUCGCAAGAAUGAAACUCAAAGGAAUUGACGGGGGCCCGCACAAGCGGUGGAGCAUGUGGUUUAAUUCGAUGAUACGCGAGGAACCUUACCAGGGCUUAAAUGCAGUCUGACGUAUUUGGAAACAGAUAUUUCUUCGGACAGAUUGCAAGGUGCUGCAUGGUUGUCGUCAGCUCGUGCCGUGAGGUGUCAGGUUAAGUCCUAUAACGAGCGCAACCCCUGUGGUUAGUUGCCAGCACGUAAUGGUGGGAACUCUAGCCAGACUGCCGGUGCAAACCGUGAGGAAGGUGGGGAUGACGUCAAAUCAUCACGGCCCUUACGUCCUGGGCCACACACGUGCUACAAUGGUAGGGACAGAGAGCAGCCACUUCGCGAGAAGGAGCGAAUCUAUAAACCCUAUCA